UUCCUUACAGUUUUUCACAGCAUAUGGUCCUGAUUAUGUGCUGGAAAUCACGCCAAGCUGCCGGCCAGACCGCAAUGAGCCCCACCGAAUCCAGCAAAUCCUCAACUACAUCAAAGGGAAUCUGAAGCAUGUGGUCUAGUUGACAAAAAGAGAUCAGGUUUCCAGAGCUGGGCAGCAGUGCCUGUAAUGAAGACAGUGUGUUGAUGCAAGCAGUUUGUGGAAUUUGUGACUGCAGGGGGAAAUUUGGAAGAAAUUACUUCCUGAAAAUUUCUAAGGGGCACCAAGUAGCAGCUGGCCUCCGGGGGUGAGGAGGCAGGCACCCUGGAGCCAGGCCUAGGGGGAAAAGGAAGACACCCAGUGUCUAAAGUGUUUAUUUUAAAACACAAAUGCAGUUUUUAAUGUUUCAAAAUUAUUUUUAAGCAAGUUUGGAGGGAAGAAUUUUAUCUUCAUAAAGGGGACAAAUCAGGAGCUACAGGAGAAUGGGGUUGGGUAGGGGGCAGCAGACGGGCAUGUUUGGACCUCAGGGCCAUUUAGAUAGAGACCCGUGGGGGAGGGGUAUCAGCCUACUGGGAGGUAAAGAGGAAGGAGCCUGCCACUUUUGUUUUAGUACUAUGCACUCAAGUUGUUCUUAAUAAAAUUUUUGAAAAUCUA